CCUACGGGUGGCAGCAGUGGGGAAUAUUGCACAAUGGGGGGAAGCCUGAUGCAGCGACGCCGCGUGGGUGAGGAAGUACUUCGGUAUGUAAAGCCCUAUCAGCAGGGAAGAAAAUGACGGUACCUGACUAAGAAGCCCCGGCCAACUAUGUGACAGCAGCCGCGGGAAUACGUAGGGGGCAAGCGUUAGCCGGAUUUACUGGGUGUAAAGGGAGCGUAGACGGCGUGCCAAGUCUGGUGUGAAAGGCCCGGGCUCAACCCCGGGACUGCAUUGGAAACUGGCAUGCUGGAGUGCCGGAGGGGCAAGCGGAAUUCCAAGUGUAGCGGUGAAAUGCGUAGAUAUUAGGAGGAACACCGGUGGCGAAGGCGGCUUCCUGGACGGUAACUGACGUUGAGGCUCGAAAGCGUGGGGAGCAAACAGGAUUAGAUACCCGAGUAGUC
rnacentral:rRNA from 1 species